rfam:Rattus norvegicus chromosome 5, whole genome shotgun sequence.
GGGGAUUUAGCUCAGUGGUAGAGUGCUUGCCUGGCAACCGCAAGGCCCUGGGUUCGGUCCCCAGCCCCG